rnacentral:rRNA from 1 species
CCUACGGGAGGCAGCAGUGGGGAAUAUUGCACAAUGGGCGCAAGCCUGAUGCAGCCAUGCCGCGUGUGUGAAGAAGGCCUUCGGGUUGUAAAGCACUUUCAGCGGGGAGGAAGGCGGUGAGGUUAAUAACCUCAUCGAUUGACGUUACCCGCAGAAGAAGCACCGGCUAACUCCGUGCCAGCAGCCGCGGUAAUACGGAGGGUGCAAGCGUUAAUCGGAAUUACUGGGCGUAAAGCGCACGCAGGCGGUCUGUCAAGUCGGAUGUGAAAUCCCCGGGCUCAACCUGGAAACUGCAUUCGAAACUGGCAGGCUAGAGUCUUGUAGAGGGGGGUAGAAUUCCAGGUGUAGCGGUGAAAUGCGUAGAGAUCUGGAGGAAUACCGGUGGCGAAGGCGGCCCCCUGGACAAAGACUGACGCUCAGGUGCGAAAGCGUGGGGAGCAAACAGGAUUAGAUACCCGGGUAGUC